CGUGCGCAUGCGCCGAAUCCCGCGAGGGAACCGGGGAACCACCAACGUGGGGUGAAUCGGGCGUCCGUCAUGGGCACUCGUAGGAGACCUUCCUGCUCCGAACCCGUCAGCUAACCCGGUAGGCGAGAAGGAAGGAAAGG
rnacentral:sRNA from 2 species